rnacentral:rRNA from 1 species
UGCAGUCGAACGGCAGCACGGACUUCCGGUCUGGUGGCGAGUGGCGAACGGGUGAGUAAUACAUCGGAACGUGCCCAGUUGUGGGGGAUAACUACUCGAAAGAGUAGCUAAUACCGCAUGAGAACUGAGGUUGAAAGCAGGGGAUCGUAAGACCUUGCGCAACUGGAGCGGCCGAUGGCAGAUUAGGUAGUUGGUGGGAUAAAAGCUUACCAAGCCGACGAUCUGUAGCUGGUCUGAGAGGACGACCAGCCACACUGGGACUGAGACACGGCCCAGACUCCUACGGGAGGCAGCAGUGGGGAAUUUUGGACAAUGGGCGAAAGCCUGAUCCAGCAAUGCCGCGUGCAGGAUGAAGGCCCUCGGGUUGUAAACUGCUUUUGUACGGAACGAAAAGCUUCUGGUUAAUACCUGGGAGUCAUGACGGUACCGUAAGAAUAAGCACCGGCUAACUACGUGCCAGCAGCCGCGGUAAUACGUAGGGUGCAAGCGUUAAUCGGAAUUACUGGGCGUAAAGCGUGCGCAGGCGGUCUUGUAAGACAGAGGUGAAAUCCCCGGGCUCAACCUGGGAACUGCCUUUGUGACUGCAAGGCUGGAGUGCGGCAGAGGGGGAUGGAAUUCCGCGUGUAGCAGUGAAAUGCGUAGAUAUGCGGAGGAACACCGAUGGCGAAGGCAAUCCCCUGGGCCUGCACUGACGCUCAUGCACGAAAGCGUGGGGAGCAAACAGGAUUAGAUACCCUGGUAGUCCACGCCCUAAACGAUGUCAACUGGUUGUUGGGUCUUAACUGACUCAGUAACGAAGCUAACGCGUGAAGUUGACCGCCUGGGGAGUACGGCCGCAAGGUUGAGACUCAAAGGAAUUGACGGUGACCCGCACAAGCGGUGGAUGAUGUGGUUUAAUUCGAUGCAACGCGAAAAACCUUACCCACCUCUGACAUGUACGGAACCCUUUAGAGAUAGAGGGGUGCUCGAAAGAGAGCCGUAACACAGGUGCUGCAUGGCUGUCGUCAGCUCGUGUCGUGAGAUGUUGGGUUAAGUCCCGCAACGAGCGCAACCCUUGCCAUUAGUUGCUACAUUUAGUUGAGCACUCUAAUGGGACUGCCGGUGACAAACCGGAGGAAGGUGGGGAUGACGUCAAGUCCUCAUGGCCCUUAUAGGUGGGGCUACACACGUCAUACAAUGGCUGGUACAAAGGGUUGCCAACCCGCGAGGGGGAGCUAAUCCCAUAAAGCCAGUCGUAGUCCGGAUCGCAGUCUGCAACUCGACUGCGUGAAGUCGGAAUCGCUAGUAAUCGUGGAUCAGAAUGUCACGGUGAAUACGUUCCCGGGUCUUGUACACACCGCCCGUCACACCAUGGGAGCGGGUCUCGCCAGAAGUAGGUAGCCUAACCGCAAGGAGGGCGCUA